UCCCACAUCUCACACAGUGCAGAAAACUUUCUGGUUUAUUCAUUAGAACAAGCCACAGGAGGGUAAAGACCUGUCCAAUGACCCAGAGUACUCUGACCGUGUGGAGUACCUGGGGAAUAAGAACAGUGACUGCACUUUUAGAAUAAAGCAGCUGAGAGAAAGUGAUUCAGCAAUAUAUCGCUUCAAGUUCCUGCCCAACCAUUAUGGUGGAAAAUAUACUGGUCAUUCUGGAGUCUCAUUGACAGUUACAGGUCUUCAGGUGAAAGUGACAGAGAAUGAGGCACAGAGUGUAACACUGACCUGUAGCAGCACCUGCACUUUGAGUGGCAGCCCAACCUUUACCUGGUACAAGAAUGGAAAAGUUGUGCCCUAUGAGUGUAAAUACUCCCUCAAUGUAGCCAGCACUGACGAUACAGAUCUCUACUCCUGUGCUACAGGAGGAGUCACUUCCCCUGCAGUCAAUGUGAAAUGUUUGAAGGUGGAUAUAAAUUCUGAACAGUGUCAGGGGGAGAGACAGUGGAACUGACCUGUAGAGCAACCUGCACUCACCUGACUGAGAGCAACAGCUUCAUCUGGUGUAAAGGUUGAAAUGAAAUCUAGCACAGUGAGUGAGGGAGUGAGGUGACAUUAACCUGUAAAAUCACCUCCACUGACCUGACUGGCAGCCAAACAUUCAUCUGGUACAAGAAUGGACAAUCUCUGUUUUACACCGCCCAGAAAUAUCAAAAUCAUAACUACCUUCAGUUCAAAGCCAGCAGUGGAGAUGGAGGCAGCUACUUCUGUGCAGUAAGAGGUCAUGCGAAUCUCCUGUCCCCAGCAGUGACUCUCUAUCCUCCUAAGAUCAUCUUAUUAUCAGUGCACCCCUCUGGUAAAAUAGCGGAGGGCAGUUCAGUGACUCUGACCUGCAGCAGUGAUGCCAAC